GUUUCUGUUGAAACAGGAGGCCAGUGAUGAUGGGAAGAGCUGGCAGCCUGUGCAGGCUGACAUGAGAAAUAGUUUGCUGAGCCCUGCCGUUGAGAUAAGGACAAAGGGCCAGGACCAGCUCUGGGGGAAGCGUGAGUUGCUUGCACAAGGGCCCGCAGCGCAGCGAGAGAUGGAACAGCAGAGGGAUCAAGGCAGAAUACGGUGCUUUGUUGUGUGUGUUUGGCUAGCCAUGGUUAUGCCUGGUCAAAGGAAGGUGGAGACACAACUCGUCCCUCAUAAAACUUAGAGAAAUGCUACCAUGUGCCAGGGUCUUCCUUCCCUGCAGCCCUCAGAGAUGACAGAUGAGCUCCCCAGUUGAAAUGUUUUCAGAGUAUGCAGAAGCUCCCUCAUGCUGUGCCACUCUCAACUUCAUGCUAAAUAUUAGAAGCAAGAUGGUUCAGACAGUACAGUGGGACAGAAUUGUAAUGGAGGGUGAUCUUCAUGUCUCCAGAAUCAGCACCAAUAAACCAGUGAUUCUCAUUAGAUGUUGUGUUAGUUUCUACUUUUAUUGCUGUGGCAAUGUAGCAAUGUUUCUCUAUAAAUUUGAAGAAACAUAACUGUGUUCAAAACUC
rnacentral:lncRNA from 1 species